GGUUUGGAAAGAAGUGAAAAGAGCGGCAUACCUGUCACUGCAACGAGCUUCUUUCCUUUAGAAACUUACGGAGAAGUUAAAUGUUAAAAUCAGGCUAUCCAGGUACUUGCAUCCCAGUGUUUUAGCGGAGUCACCUGGAGAGUGCACGAGCCGCUUCUGCUGAUGUUCAGUAACUCCUGAAACCCAGUGGAAGAGCUGGGAAUCGAGGAUAAUUUAAGUUCUUCUUUCAGAUAUCCUGGAGAAAGUGGAGUUUGCAGAGGAUGUUGAUGCUGAAGAAACUAACGAGUGCCAAAGGAGGAAUAUUGCAAUUAUAAUUCAAGUGACCUUGGAUUGUUUUAACACAAUCUAAUAAAAAGCCAUUGGAGUGAAAACAAAAAUCUUAGGUCAUACAGAUGGAGUAAAUGAAUUUGUGCUGGGGAAGAGUGAUGCUUGGAGGAACACGUGCCGACAGAAGACAUCCAACAUGUUCCACUCAGAUUGAAGUUUCUGUGAGAUGCAGUCUUCUGCUCUGGCAUGACAAAUUGCUGGUUAUGGAUCUGGUCACCUACCUGAUGGACUUGAUUUUAUAGUCUUCAGAACAGACCACCUGCUCACUCAUUUUGAAUUUCAUAUGUGACAAAGUGAAUUAAUAAGCUUUCAAGAUAAUUUUCUUUACCAAGAACAACUCAAAGAUGAAUUGUAGGGGGUGCAGCUUUAUUAGAUCUGCACAGAGAGUGUCUUUGUUGCAGGCAUCUGUGGUGGCUGGGUUGAACACACAAACAUUAUGAACGUGGCUGUGCCAAACUUGAGCUGUGAGUGAUUUCUGGGCCACACAAAGUAGUGAUGGAUCUUAUGUGACAUGCAACACCAUCUGCUCUGCUCCCUGUGGCUAUGCAGACCCAAGACUCACUUCAACAUCCUCAUCAUGCUGGGCUCUGUAACAGUGUCAUGUUGCUCAUAGCUAUGUAAAUCUAGUCUCUCUCAUCUAUCAUCCCCCUCUUGAUACUGCUGAUAAGGCAUUAAAUUUUUCUUCUUUUGGUGUCCUUUGUCUUCAUCUUGAUUUUGAUGGGUGUUCUUUGAGUCUCCCUUUUCACUAGCUCCGUAAUUAUUAGAUUACCUACCUUCCUAGCUCAUACAGUGAACUUGUCUCCUAAAAAUGGGACGUCUGUGAGCGUGGCGGCCAGCUGAAUGCCAGCCCUUUCUACCUUUGUUUCAUAAUUUUGAGCCCAUGUUUUAUUUGCCUCUUCAACAAUGGGGAAAGCAUUUGCCAUCUACUCCCUACUGAGACAUAAAAGGUUUCUGAAAAUGCAGCCUCCUCUGAAUUAUCUUCUCUACAGCCUCCUGAAUUAACAGCAGAUCAGUCCCUUUAGGAUGGGGCAAUGAGAAAUGCUGGUAAUUACUGCUUGCAAGUAUAAACAGUCAUGCCCAUGUGCUGAAGGGACCUAACUAAUGCCAGCCAAUUAAAAACAGUGAGAGGAAGAUCACAGCUCCUCGGCUAAUGCAAAUACUGUGGCCUGUAAACACCACUCUUUGCCUGGGAGAGCUCAUCUGACUUUCUUUUCUGUAAUGUUACAUGACCUCUUUUGAACCCUUUCAGAUCUCCAUGGGAUUGCAGGCCCGAGUUAUAUUGUUGGAAAAUGAUGAACUUCAUGUGAGACUUGUCAUUAGGAGUAGAAAACAAAUCCAAGACAUGGCUUAGUCCUUGUUAAGAGAAUGAGGUUUCUGUGGUCUGUUUGGAUUGUAAAUCAUCAGAAGCCUCCCUGCAACAGACCCAUUUGCUUCUCCACACAGAGUAAGGACAAUAAUAUUCAAUAUAUGCCAAAAGAGCUGUGUCUUUUACUGGAAAGGUACCAAAAAUCAUCUGCAUUGCGCUAGUAAAGUCUCAGUGUGCUUCCUAUUGAAGUUGAUGGCAGGUCUUUGAAUAGGCUGGGCUGUGAGGUAGCUUAACAUUUUUGAAGCAUUAUGAUCGCAAAAUAAGAUAUUAUAUAUGGACUAAACUUUCUGCCUGAAAAGCACAGGAAGCAGUGCAAAAGCUUCCCGUGGUCACUGAAGAAAUUGAAGAAAAAGAAAAGUGGGGCAAAUCCUAGGCUGGUCUGUCCUGUUGGUGGCACUGGGAAUUGUUUACGAUAUUUAAAGAGGAAUCCUAGGGUGAUACUGCACAUGACUACUUUCAGCAAAGCUUUUCAGAUAGGGCCUGCACCACAGGAAUUAAUGGGACUGCCAUUGGAUAGGACAGAGCUUGAGUGGUUUGCUGGCUGCAGUUCUCACUUGACAUUUUCUGGGUCGCCUGAGGUCAGUGCAGUGGCUAAAGAGAAAGAGUAGCAAACUUCAUCUGUGUGCGUAACAAACAGCUCCAUUUUACUUCAAAACAUUUUCUUACUGAAAAUUUAGAGAAACUCUGCUGUUAGAGUAGGUGAAGUUUUUGCUCAACAUAUUAAUUCUUCAACUGUUGCUAGGUGUGCCUUCAAAACAGUUGUAAUUCUACUAAUAUAUCUUCUUAAAUAACAUCAAAACAUGACUCUUCAAGGAAUUAGAAAUGUGUUUCAACAAUGACCUUCCUGCUGGCAUUGCCUUGAUGGUUUGUUUUGUUUUUUUGUUAGUGUUGUACAUAGAGACAAAGCAAGUACCCUCCUUAUGUAAGAAUACUGUCUUCUAUCAGAAAACUCGUUUAAUAAAAGCUAUAUGAAAACACUCCAUACAUACUGCUGUCAAUUCUUAGCGAUCUUUAAAAUGUCCAUCAUCUACUAGGUGCAAGCCUGCAAGCCUCAGCCUGCCUGCACGUGCAAAUUAUUCCAUUGAACUAGUGAGGCUGUUUGCAAUUAGGAAUUGCAAAUCGCUUGUGGACAAUCCUAAAUGUUAUGUUCUAAUUAAUGUAGCUAUGUAAAUCUAGAACUUCUAUACUACUCAAACAGAGGAGAAGCUAAUAUUACAUGGCCCAGGCAAUAAGCCCUAGGGAGGACUUUUAGGAAUUAAUUAUUUCCUUUUUGGAAACCAACAAGUGAAUAUUUUAUAGAAAAGAUUUUAGGCAAAUGAUUUUGUAUUUAAUAGUGCAUGUAGACAUUUAAAAGAUUAGCAAAAUGUGAAGAAUGCAAUGUAAUUAUAUUUUCUGCGAUUUAUUUUUUUCAAUUAAUAACAAAUAUUUUCUGCUAGAAAUUUCCAUUUGGUCUAAUGAAUUAAUUGAUUAAUCUCAGAGAAGUGCAUUUUGGAUGCAUGUCUGGGAAUGUUUCAGCACAUGCUAUUCUAUGAAGUGAUAACAACCACUAUGGAUUUUCUGGAUCACAGCUUCAUAAUUUGAGAUCAUUGAGGAAAACAGCAAGAUAAGAUAGAGCCUAUCCUAUAUUUGGAAUACCAAAAAUCAAGACGGAACUACUUGAACAUAAACUCAGAAAUGGUUUUGUGGAACAACAGGCGAAUCCCACAGUUCCACCGAGCAGGAAGGCAUUAAUAAUUUAUCCCUGCAGGCAGGAAUUCAGUUUACCACCCUCCCCAUUACACCUGCCAAUGCAACCCAGGAAGAAAGGAAAGGAGGGAGUGUAUCUGGAUGAGUGAAGCAAAGAAGAGAUAUCAGGGCCACUGUUGCUGUGGGGAGAUAAUGGUUUGAGGACAGACAUGAUUGAAGGGAUGGCCCAAGGUUAGGGUCAGAGUUGUUGAAAAGAAACUUGCUUAAUUUCUUUUUCUUUUCCAGUAACAGCUGGAGGAGUUUUAGUAUCAUCUUUCUUUAUCUUUGAGACUACUGAUUUUGACUAUAUCUAUAUAACUCAGCAGGUGAGCCCAUCACUUCUGUGCAUUGUUUAAGCCUUCCUAUGUUGUACAGUCAAUUUCUUCCAAAACGUAGUGUUGAGGGUGGUUUUUUUUAAAAAUCUUGUUAUUUGUGAUUUCCCCAAGGGUGGUGGAUGUGUGUGUCAUGUGUCUUGCUUUGCAUUCUCAGUGUGCAUUGUAUGAAUUCAAACUAAUGAGAAGUAUAUUUUUAUGCUUUGGACUGCAUAGCUGUAAAAAAUGAUGGUAUGCUUAGGAAAUUUUGGGAUGUUUU